rnacentral:misc_RNA from 1 species
AGCAGCCGCGGUAAUUCCAGCUCCAAUAGCGUAUAUUAAAGUUGUUGCAGUUAAAAGCUCGUAGUUGAAUUUCGGGGUUAGUAGGUUGGUCAUGCCUCUGGUAUGUACUGGUCUCACUGAUUCCUCCUUCCUGAUGAACCUUAAUGCCAUUAAUUUGGUGUUUUGGGGAAUUUGGACUGUUACUUUGAAAAAUUAGAGUGUUUAAAGCAAGCUAACGCUUGAAUACAUUAGCAUGGAAUAAUGAAAUAGGACGUUCGAUCCUAUUUUGUUGGUUUCUAGGAUUGACGUAAUGAUUAAUAGGGAUAGUUGGGGGCAUUAGUAUUCAAUUGUCAGAGGUGAAAUUCUUGGAUUUAUUGAAGACUAACUACUGCGAAAGCAUUUGCCAAGGAUGUUUUCAUUAAUCAAGAACGAAAGUUGGGGAUCGAAGACGAUCAGAUACCGUCGUAGUCUUAACCAUAAACUAUGCCGACUAGGGAUCGGAUGAUGUUAAUUUUUAAUGACUCAUUCGGCGCCUUACGGG